UCAUUGGCGGGCUCCGCUUUCGUGGUCUUGCUAUGGGAUCUUGCACUAGAUUCUGGACCACGGGAAGCACUGAAGUAGUGAUAAAACAGAGCAUUUGUCUGAGAGACAGGCUCUAACCCUGCAGGAGUCUUUGGGCCUCUAACUCGUGCUCUUUCCCACAUCCCGCCCCCCAGCUCCAUCACAUUUCUCCCCUCCGACUUUGGUGAAAAAAGUUUGGCGACUUGAGCUGCUGUUGCUUCUCCUGGGCAGAAGCAUUUUGGUGGAGGUGUACUGGGUUCUGCCAUGGCUACGUCUCCUGGGAACUAAACACAUGUGACUCUGCUAGCCGUCACCAGGUUCCAGAUGCCAUCAGGAUGCUGGCCAGGCUUCCCUGGACUGAAGACCCCACCAAUGAGUCCUGGAGCUCCGCUUCCCCAGAGACCCACCCUACUAGGGAAAG